rnacentral:piRNA from 1 species
UGAAGAAUUAUCUAGACCCCCAAAUG